CAGUGAUAAACUGGAGGAAGGUGGGGAUGACGUCAAGUCAUCAUGGCCCUUACGACCAGGGCUACACACGUGCUACAAUGGCGCAUACAAAGAGAAGCGACCUCGCGAGAGCAAGCGGACCUCAUAAAGUGCGUCGUAGUCCGGAUUGGAGUCUGCAACUCGACUCCAUGAAGUCGGAAUCGCUAGUAAUCGUGGAUCAGAAUGCCACGGUGAAUACGUUCCCGGGCCUUGUACACACCGCCCGUCACACCAUGGGAGUGGGUUGCAAAAGAAGUAGGUAGCUUAACCUUCGGGAGGGCGCUUACCACUUUGUGAUUCAUGACUGGGGUGAAGUCGUAACAAGGUAACCGUAGGGGAACCUGCGGUUGGAUCACCUCCU
rnacentral:rRNA from 3 species